rnacentral:lncRNA from 1 species
CUCGGUUCGAGGAGCUCAACAUGGACCUCUUCCGCAAGUGCAUGGAGCCCGUCGAGAAGUGCCUCCGCGAUGCCAAGAUGGACAAGAGCACCGUGCACGAUGUUGUCCUCGUCGGAGGAUCCACCCGUAUCCCCCGUGUGCAGCAGCUCCUCCAGGAUUUCUUCAACGGCAAGGAGCUCUGCAAGAGCAUCAACCCUGACGAGGCCGUCGCGUACGGAGCCGCCGUUCAGGCUGCCAUCCUCACCGGCGAGGGCAACGAGAAGGUGCAGGACUUGCUCCUGCUCGACGUCACACCGCUCUCGCAGGGCCUGGAGACGGCCGGAGGUGUCAUGACCGUCCUGAUCCCAAGGAAUACGACAAUCCCCACCAAGAAGGAGCAGGUCUUCUCCACCUACUCUGACAACCAGCCCGGCGUGCUCAUCCAGGUGUAUGAGGGCGAGAGGGCGAGGACCAAGGACAACAACCUGCUCGGCAAGUUUGAGCUCUCCGGGAUCCCACCGGCUCCCAGGGGCGUCCCCCAGAUCACCGUGUGCUUCGACAUUGACGCCAACGGUAUCCUGAACGUCUCGGCGGAGGACAAGACCACCGGGCAGAAGAACAAGAUCACAAUUACCAACGACAAGGGUCGGCUGAGCAAGGAGGACAUCGAGAAGAUGGUGCAGGAGGCCGAGAAGUACAAGGCUGAGGACGAGGAGCACAAGAAGAAGGUGGACUCCAAGAACGCCCUGGAGAACUACGCUUACAACAUGCGUAACACCAUCAAGGACGACAAGAUCGCCUCCAAGCUCCCGGAGGCUGACAAGAAGAAGAUCGAGGACGCUAUUG